UGAGAAUGGCAGGCAAAUCCACCAUUCAAUCUGAAGACGUGACGCGUACCGAACAAGAGUAGGGAAGUGUAUGAGCCAGCUGUCGAGAAAAGCCGCUAUUGUGAUAUAUGUGCCCGUACCGUAAACCGACACAGGUGGAUGAGGAGAGAAUCCUAAGGCCGGCGGGAGAAGUGUUGUUAAGGAACUCGGCAAAAUGACCCCGUAACUUCGGGAGAAGGGGUGCCUCGGAAGAGGCCGCAGAGAAAUGGCCCAAGCAACUGUUUAGCAAAAACAUAGGUCUAUGCAAAACCGAAAGGUGAGGUAUAUGGGCUGACGCCUGCCCGGUGCUGGAAGGUUAAGAGGAGAGCUUAGCGCAAGCGAAGGUUUGAAUUUAAGCCCCAGUAAACGGCGGCCGUAACUAUAACGGUCCUAAGGUAGCGAAAUUCCUUGUCGGGUAAGUUCCGACCCGCACGAAAGGCGUAAUGAUUUGGGCACUGUCUCAACAACACACCCGGUGAAAUUGAAAUACCAGUGAAGAUGCUGGUUACCUGCGCCAGGACGGAAAGACCCCAUGGAGCUUUACUCCAGCUUGAUACUGGGAUUCGGUACUACCUGUACAGGAUAGGUGGGAGGCUAUGAUCACGGGACGCCAGUUUCGUGUGAGCCGCUGUUGGGAUACCACCCUUGUAGUACUGGAUUCCUAACCUACAGCCGUGAACCGGCUGGGGGACAAUGUCUGGCGGGGAGUUUGCCUGGGGCGGUCGCCUCCGAAAGGGUAUCGGAGGCGCUCAAAGGUUCCCUCAGAAUGGUUGGAAACCAUUCGAAGAGUGCAAAGGCAGAAGGGAGCUUGACUGCGACACCGACGGGUGGAGCAGGUACGAAAGUAGGACUUAGUGAUCCGGUGGUAUAAAGUGGGAUUGCCAUCGCUCAACGGAUAAAAGCUACCCUGGGAUAACAGGCUUAUCACUCCCAAGAGUUCACAUCGACGGAGUGGUUUGGCACCUCGAUGUCGGCUCAUCGUAUCCUGGAGCUGUAGCAGGUUCCAAGGGUUGGGCUGUUCGCCCAUUAAAGCGGUACGCGAGCUGGGUUCAGAACGUCGUGAGACAGUUCGGUCCCUAUCCGGCGUGGGCGUAGGAUAUUUGAGAGGAGCUGUCCUUAGUACGAGAGGACCGGGAUGGACGGACCGCUGGUGUAUCUGUUGUUGUACCAACAGCAUGGCAGAGUAGCCAAGUCCGGCAGGGAUAAACGCUGAAGGCAUCUAAGCGUGAAGCCCCCCACAAGAUAAGAUAUCCCAUCAUAAGAGUAAGACCCCUUGAAGACUACAAGGUUGAUAGGCUUGGAGUGUAAUCGUGGCAACACGUUCAGCUGACAAGUACUAAUAGGUCGAGGGCUUACCA
rnacentral:rRNA from 1 species